AGGAGGAGGGGCACCUCUACUACACCACUGGUUCAGCAGCCUAAAGAGCUACGCCUAUCAGCACCACUCGUUGUCUCCCCUGAGAGGGAGCCUCUGCCACCAGUCCCAGAAAGUUCUCCUCACUCUGGGGCCCAUGUGGUUAUCAGUAGCCCAGAGGUUCACAUGCCAAGAAAGCGAGGAGGAGGACAAGGAGGAGGAGGGGCAGGAAGAGGAGCCAGAGGGGACACACCCAGGGCGAUCAGUCUGGAACACGUAGCAUACGCUCCUAAAGAAUGCCUGUGACUUAAGAACCUGUGGAUGAGGACAUCGCUGGAAUACCUCAGAAUUUGGGUAUGGUGGUUAUUUUCAUAGAACCUAUUUCUAUUUAUAAUAAUGAUAUACCUAGGGUUGUUUCAGUACAGUUAUAUUGCUAUGUUUAGGUGUGUGGGUUUACCAUGGGGAAAUGUUGCUGGUAUAAUAAGUCACCAGACGGGGCGGCAGGUAGCCUAGUGGUUAGAGCGCUGGACUAGUAAACCGAAAGGUUGCAAGAUCAAAUCCCCGAGCUGACGAAGGUAAAAAAAUCUGUCGUUCUGCCUCUGAACAAGGCAGUUAACCCAAUGUUCCUAGGCCGUCAUUGAAAAUAAGAAUUUGUCCUUAAAUAAAGGUAAAAUAAAACCUGGUAAUAGCGGCCUACCACAAAUUCCUUGUUUUGCUAAGUUUGCUGUAUUGUACAUUGCU
rnacentral:lncRNA from 1 species